AUGACAUUGUUUCAAAUGCUAGAGCACUAUGAGCGUUGCCUUGCGUCGCGACGCUUGAACGCGGCUCUCCAAGACGUCGAGGCCUUACAGUCCGUUCCGUUCACAGAGGAAAAUGCUUCAGUUCUUGAGAAACAUGCCGCGAAAGUUUUCACUCCUGCUGUGUUUAAGUUGGUCUUAUGGAGCAUAGAUGCUGUCAUAAAAUGUGAGAUCAGAGAGGUACUUGAUGCAGCAGAGGUUACCACAUACGUUGUGUCUAAGAAGGAAAGAAUGGAUAAAAAGAUCGAAGUGCGCACGGAGAUGAAGGAUGGUAUGCUUCGGAGUAUCAGUUGUUCUUGCCGCAAAUUGGAAUGCGCAGGCACACCAUGUUCCCACAUAUUUUACAUAUUGGGAAUUUUACAAGAAGAAACACUGCCCAGGUGUUGUGUUCCCACUAGGUGGACAAUGAGUGCAAAAUGUGCAUUCGCACCGACCAGAAAGAGCGAGAUGUAUGCAUACUCUGCAGCCCUACAAAGGUACCGUAAGCUAAGGAAUUUUAGUCACGCAGCAUGUUUCAAGGCAUGCCACUCUGAUGAGGCGUUUCAGCAUCUAAAAAGGGUUUCGGAAGGACAAGAUGUUUGCAAGGGAUCAACAAGUGAACAAGCUGAUAGCAAGGGAUCAACUAAUGCUCAGGGUAAUAGCAUUAGGUUUGGCCCGUUGAUGCCACAAUCGGCUAACCUUGAUGGUGAAGGUUUCGAAAAGGUAUUGGAUCCCGUGCAUGUGCCAGGCCGAGGUGCUCCGAAGAAAAGGCUACAUGCAAAGAUGAAGAAAACCAGAACAAAGGGUAGAUGUAGCUAUUGUCAUGAGGCAGAUGGUCACAAUCGACGAUCUCAAAGAAGAACUAUGAUAGCUACAACAUUGUGCGCACGGUCGGACAGCAGGUACGUCGACGAUCAACCUGAUGUUGGCGUGUGCAUUGUCGUCUAUGUCUAG
rnacentral:rRNA from 1 species